rnacentral:rRNA from 1 species
UGGCAAACGGGUGCGUAACACGUGGGUGACCUACCCCAAAGUGGGGAACAACAGACCGAAAGGUUUGCUAAUACCGCAUUCGCUCGGCGAUUCAGUUUGCCGAGUAAAGCCGCCUUCGGGAGGCGCUUUGGGAGGGGCCCGCGUCCCAUCAGGUAGUUGGUGAGGUAAUGGCCCACCAAGCCGAUGACGGGUAGCUGGUCUGAGAGGACGAUCAGCCACACUGGCACUGAGAUACGGGCCAGACUCCUACGGGAGGCAGCAGUGAGGAAUAUUGCGCAAUGGACGAAAGUCUGACGCAGCGACACCGCGUGGGUGACGAAGGCCUUCGGGUCGUAAAACCCUUUUGGUGGGGACGAGUGAGGACGGUACCCAUCGAAUAAGUCUCGGCUAACUACGUGCCAGCAGCCGCGGUAAAACGUAGGAGGCGAGCGUUAUCCGGAUUCACUGGGCGUAAAGCGUGCGUAGGCGGUUAGGUAAGUCGGACGUUAAAGCCCCUGGCUCAACUGGGGGAGGUCGUUCGAUACUGCCCGGCUUGAGGAUGAGAGAGGGAAGUGGAAUUCCCGGUGUAGCGGUGGAAUGCGUAGAGAUCGGGAGGAACACCAGUGGCGAAAGCGGCUUCCUGGCUCAUUUCUGACGCUGAGUGCACGAAAGCGUGGGGAGCAAACGGGAUUAGAUACCCCGGUAGUCCACGCUCUAGACGAUGAGAGCUGGGUGUUGGCAGGGUUUCCUGUCUGUGCCGAAGCAAACGCGUUAAGCUCUCCGCCUGGGGACUACGAACGCAAGUUUAAAACUCAAAGGAAUUGACGGGGGCCCGCACAAGCAGCGGAGCGUGUGGUUCAAUUCG